GCUGGGUGCAGUGGCGCACACCUGUAAUCCCAGCAGAUCGGGAGACUGAGACAGGAGGAUCACAAGUUCAAAGUCAGCCUCAGCAACAGUGAGGUGCUAAACAACUCAGUAAGACCCUGUCUCUC
rnacentral:sRNA from 1 species